rnacentral:rRNA from 1 species
GACGAACGCUGGCGGCAUGCUUAACACAUGCAAGUCGAACGGAAAGGCCCUGCUUUUGUGGGGUGCUCGAGUGGCGAACGGGUGAGUAACACGUGUGUAACCUGCCCUUGACUUUGGGAUAACUUCAGGGAACUGGGGCUCAUACCGGAUAUGAGCUCCUGCUGCAUGGUGGGGGUUGGUAAGUUUCGGCGGUUGGGGAUGGACUCGCGGCUUAUGAGCUUGUUGGUGGGGUAGUGGCUUACCAAGGCUUUGAAGGGUAGCCUGCCUGAGAGGGUGAACGGGCACAUUGGGACUGAGAUACGGCCCAGACUCGUACGGGAGGCAGCAGUGGGGAGUAUUGCACAAUGGGCGGAAGCCUGAUGCAGAGACGCCGCGUGCGGGAUGACGGCUUUCGGGUUGUAAACCGCUUUCGCCUGUGACGAAGCGUGAGUGACGGUAAUGGGUAAAGAAGCACCGGCUAACUACGUG